rnacentral:misc_RNA from 1 species
GCCAUCUAUUAUCAAGAAGAGUAGUUACAUUAAAAGAAAUUUCUUUAUUGAGUGCUGGAAAAUGAUAUUCAAAAUGGGCUGCUACUGUCUUCAAUGAAUGAAACGUCUACCAUGCAAACAUCAGGAUUGAAUUUUGGAAAUCUAUUGGUCCACCUGCAUAAUCAAAUUUCCAAUGCCUAAGGAAAUCAAGAAUGUAAGGCUUAUCUCUUUGACCUGCAAUGUUAGUUUAUACAGAUUUUAACCUUUUCUCUGUGUUUAGCAGAGUCUUCAAGAGGACAUAUGAAGGAGCAAUCCCUUUCCCAGAUGAAAGAGACUAAAAUUUUCUUAGAAUGUAGAUGUAAACUUUUACAUGCAAAAGCAGUGAUCAAGAAAACACUAUUUGAUCCAUGUAUCUUAGCUGUAUAAUGAAAAUGUUAGGUUUGGCUCUGCCUGCCAUUCAAAUCGCCACCCCAAGUUUGAAAACCAAGCCUUUCAGUUGGAUUCUCCCCAAUUCCCUCACUUUCGCACCUACAUUUCACAUCCUUCACUCGGUGUUUUUAAAGCAUCCACACCACUAAAACAUGGAAUAUAUGAUCUAUCAAAGGCAUUAACAUUGAGCUUUGUUCUUUUUUGUGUCUUAAAUUGUGAAUAUGUUUUCAUGGACCUAAACUAUAACCCGACCAGAAAGUUUCACGCUAUGACUCGAUUAAAUAAAAAGUGAGAUCUGUGGUAGUAGCGAAGAACAUGGGCCAAUAGAGUUGUGAAAUAUUCGAAAAACACACUGAAGUUAGGUUUUAAGAGUUCUGAAUGUUUGCAUCUUUCUUUUUUCAUCAUAGCGAAACAUUUUCUCUUAUUUUGCCUGUGGAUGUAAACUUUACUGUUAAAUCACGUUAAAUAUUGUGUUAUUCUUCUUCUAUUUUCUGUGUGCCUGUUAUAACAAGCUUUAAAAGAUUGACAGCUUUGUAAGAGAUGAACCACAAGUUGAUGCUUUGUCUAUUAAGGUUUAUUUACCUUUUUACUAAAUUAUGUUAGCCAUUGGAUUAAUGAUCCAGUAAAGGAGGUCAAGGAUUCAAAUGUUGGCAUUUUCCUCCCUUUAUAAGAAAUUUCCCAUGUAGCCAAUUAGCUUUAGCUUGGUGGCAUUAGAGUUAUUUUCAGGAUCGUGAAGUCUCGAAUUUGAAUACGAGUUGUAACCAAUUGUACCAACAAAUGGAAAUUUCCAAUGUAUGUAAAAUAAUAAAACUAAUGUAUGCCAAUAAAUUAUGAUUCCCAAUUCCACAGUUAGACGAAUGAAAACAAAUCCAUUGAAUUUGCCACAACCAGAAACAAUGACCAAGUUAUUCCUAUGCUAACACAAGUCUCAAAAGACAACCAUUUGCAAUUCCUGGAGACAAUAAGGGAAAAAUAAAGAAGAUGAUCAGGUUAACAUUGAUGUCUAGAAAUAAAAAUUUGCAAUUCUUCUUCUUCACUUCUCCCCACCUCCUCCCUAGCAGUCUUCACUCUACCAGCCAAAUGGGGUAGUUCAUCUAUCCACGGGAUGGACUAUCACGAGUCAGUAGUUAGCAGACGCAUAUUGUUAGUAUCAGGGUACCAUCCCAUUCAAGCAUCAACAAUGGUGAAAAACUAAAUACAUGUUUAAUGCAGUUAGAUUAGUUACCUCAGCAAAUGCAGAGGUCAGCAGGUAGUUGGUGAAGGCUCUAUAUUGGAGGCUAUCACCACUGCAUAAAAGCCAACAGCUCAGGUUGGAGCACAUCUAUAGCCAUAUCAAGCACAAACUAGCAACAAUAUGAAAUGAUAAGAAGAAGAAAUAAUUUUAUUCUUAAAAUAGCUUAUUUUGAAUGCACCGAAUACAAUAAUCAUAGUCUUCAUCUCCGCUUUAUUAAUUCAAACUCAUAAGAGUAUUCGGUUAAUUUCAAACCUGAAGCUUGUCCCUUCUUCUAUUAUAAUACCGAAGGCCAGUUCAUUCCCAGCUAAAGAAUGUGCAGGCACUUUGAUUCCUGCAAGUUGCACUGGAAUGGAUAGUGGAGCACAGACUCUUUAUGAAAGUCCAGGCUUUUGAUUUCCCAUCACUGAGAAAAUAUGCAUCCAUUUUCUUUCACGUCAAUAAAUCAUCACUCAAUUCUUAAAUGUCUUUCAGCUGCACAAUCUAACAGUACAUGCCACAGCCUGUGCCCAAAAUUUGAGCCUUGCUUUAACAUCUUCCGGAUGGUCACCUGGAUAGGUUGAAUAAAUUACAAUCAAUUAUAUGAUUGAUGGCUUUUGCAUUCAAUCUAGACAAGAAUUAUCAAUAAAGAAACAUUCACUUUAUGAUCAAUACAAAUUUCUUUGUACAUAUUUAUUCUAUAUCUUUGAACAUUUAUCUUGAAUCAUUGAACCCAAUUUAUCACUUCAUCUAUCGGAAGAUGUAUUAGCAUACCAUCACGAAAUAUCAACUAAAAUUCAAAAUCAAUUCAUUAAAAAAAGAAAAGGAAAGAUCAGCAAACCAGUCACAACAGGAUCACCCCAAGAACUACAGAUCUCAAUUCUUAAAAUCUAGCAUUUCUUUUAUAUUAAAGAUCCCAAGUAAUAAUCACCUCCACAAACCAUUAAAUCAUAUAUUCCAAGCAACAUCAAAUAUCAAAGCAUAAAUCACCAUUUCAUUUACUAAACAUAUCAUAGCAUUAAUCUGAACUCAAAUUUCACAAAAGAUCUAAAGAACCAACCUAUCCGUGUUGGAUGCAAAAUACCUUGAACCAUCUACCAAAAUUCACUUAAAAAAUUCCAAAAUCAUAAAUCCCAACUUAACUACACAGAAAACAGAUCAAACAUUACCCAACACCACAAUGAUCAACCCAUAAGAGAAACCCAAUAAUAUAGGAAACAAAAAAUGAAC